rnacentral:rRNA from 1 species
AUGUGGUUUAAUUCGAUGAUACGCGAGGAACCUUACCUGGGCUCAAAUGUAUGUUGACGUAUUCUGAAAGGGAUACUUCUUCGGACAAUAUACAAGGUGCUGCAUGGUUGUCGUCAGCUCGUGCCGUGAGGUGUCGGGUUAAGUCCCAUAACGAGCGCAACCCCUAUCAUUAGUUGCCAUCAGGUCAAGCUGGGGACUCUAAUGAAACUGCCUACGCAAGUAGUGAGGAAGGUGGGGAUGACGUCAAGUCCUCAUGGCCUUUAUGACCAGGGCUACACACGUACUACAAUGGCCGAUACAAAGGGCAGCGACACUGCGAGGUGAAGCCAAUCCCGUAAAAUCGGUCUCAGUCCGGAUUGGAGUCUGCAACUCGACUCCAUGAAGUUGGAAUCGCUAGUAAUCGUGGAUCAGCAUGCCACGGUGAAUACGUUCCCGGGCCUU